AUAAAUAUCCUUAUAAAAAUAAGUAUACAGUUUUUAUUAGGUAGUUUGGGCAUAAGGCAUAACUUAAUCCAUAACGACACUCCCCAAGAGUUGUUUUUACAUAUCAAGUGAAAGAAGACUAUUUCAUCCUAUAACAAGUUAUUGUAUUGCGAUAAGAUCAGACAACAUCUUCAAUGUGAUGGAUUUUGCUAAGGUGGCCCAAAUCAUUGAUGCGUGCCACUAGAUCUCAAAUACGUUCUCCACCCGUACUGAAGGCUGCCACAAGGAAAAUUGUGUAAUGAACAAAAGUUUGACACAGCAACACCGCGCGUGGGAUGACGGAUCUAGGUUUGUAAACCACUUUCAAGAAGGAAGAAAAUGACGGUACCUCCACGUUAAGCCCCGGCCAACUACGGGCCAGUAUCCGCGGUAAUACGUAG
rnacentral:rRNA from 1 species